rnacentral:misc_RNA from 1 species
AAGUCGUAACAAGGUUUCCGUAGGUGAACCUGCGGAAGGAUCAUUACCGAGUAAUUGGUCGCUAUUUUUAAUGGCACCAACUCCCACCCUAGUGUUUACUAUAACUUAUUAUCUUUGGCAAAGCGUUUUUGCUUAAUGUUAAAACCAUUGAUAGGGAUAAUCUAUGAAUGUGUCUUUGCCAAAGUAAUUACUACUCUUACUUUUUAAUGAUUGUCUGAGUUAUAAAAUAAAAUGAAUUUAAAACUUUCAACAACGGAUCUCUUGGUUCUG